AGAGUUUGAUCCUGGCUCAGGACGAACGCUGGCGGCGUGCCUAACACAUGCAAGUCGAACGGACUGAUGGCCUUCGGGCCAGCAGUUAGUGGCGAACGGGUGAGUAACGCGUGGGUAACCUGCCCUUAUAUCGGGGACAACUGACCGAAAGGUGAGCUAAUACCGGAUAAACUGUAAAGAUCGCAUGAUUUUGACAGGAAAGGCGGCCUCUAUUUAUAAGCUGCCGUAAAAGGAUGGACCCGCGUCUGAUUAGCUGGUUGGUGAGGUAACGGCUCACCAAGGCGACGAUCAGUAGCCGGCCUGAGAGGGUGAACGGCCACACUGGGACUGAGACACGGCCCAGACUCCUACGGGAGGCAGCAGUGGGGAAUCUUCCGCAAUGGACGAAAGUCUGACGGAGCAACGCCGCGUGAGUGAAGAAGGUUUUCGGAUUGUAAAACUCUGUCUUUUGGGACGAACGGUCUCUAUGUGAAUAAUGUAGAGGAUUGACGGUACCAAAGGAGGAAGCCCCGGCUAACUACGUGCCAGCAGCCGCGGUAA
rnacentral:rRNA from 1 species